rnacentral:rRNA from 1 species
CGUGGGUAACCUGCCCAAGAGAUCGGGAUAACACCUGGAAACAGAUGCUAAUACCGGAUAACAACAGAUGAUGCCUAUCAACUGUUUAAAAGAUGGUUCUGCUAUCACUCUUGGAUGGACCUGCGGUGCAUUAGCUAGUUGGUAGGGUAACGGCCUACCAAGGCGAUGAUGCAUAGCCGAGUUGAGAGACUGAUCGGCCACAUUGGGACUGAGACACGGCCCAAACUCCUACGGGAGGCAGCAGGGG